AGCACAGAUUCCCUUGCCCUGCCUCAUCUCUAGCUCCCCACUGUUAUAGCUCAGUAUGGUUUCCCUGUCACAGCCUGGCCUGAUCUGAUUUUGGGGAUGAUGGAAAGGGUUUGUCCUCAGAGGAGAUGAAGAACAGCUGGCCGCCAUCUGCUACAAAGCUAGCCACUUCCUGCACACGCCCUGUUCUCCUGCUUCUCAGCCCACAUCCUGAAGGACCUACCAUCAUGCCAUGUGCAAAGCCAGGACAAGCCACCUGAGACAAAGUUCAAAGAUGUACCUCCCAUGUUGUACCAUGCUCCAGUGUCAAUCAGCUGCUUUGAACUCUCAUUGUUGCCCAUGCACUCUGACUUUUCACAAAAUAAAUGCCUGAAUGUCAUGGAAAGCAACAUUUUCUGACAUCUGAAAGAUGUGCAUCUACAACAAGUAAUAUUUAAAAAGUAUCUCUCGCCCCACUUCCCUGUCUCUGCUAUGUUAUAUCUUAGGUGUCUGCCUACCUUAUCUACCCCUAGGC